GCUCGCUUGGUGUAGUGGAUUAUCACGUCGUUCUUAUAAUGCGAAGGUCACCGGUUCGACCCCGGUAGUGAGCA
rnacentral:tRNA from 5 species